rnacentral:tRNA from 1 species
GGCGGGAUAGCUCAGAUGGUUAGAGCGUUGGAUUCAUAAUCCAAAGGUCACGGGUUCGAUUCCCGUUCCCGCUA